UUACCUUUAAUGAACGUAGCAGUUGCUUUCAUGUAUGGUAUGUGUGUUUGAAACAUGAUUUUUUCAGGAAAAAGACAUACGGUAAUGAUAUUCUGUUACAGGAAUGGUGGAACAGCUGUGAAAAAGGAAACUUACUACCAGCGCUAAAGAAGCACUGGAGGAUAUUUGUUCUUAGUGUCUUUGGUAAUAAUCAUGACCCAGGAAAAGAGGAACGUUUGGCACACAAGUUCUUGUUUCGACCGAUGGAAUAUUUCCUGUGUCGACAAGAUCCAGAGGUCGUUUUUGAAGAACUCAAAGCAAAAAACAUGCCUUCACAGCUUUGUGGUAAAGUCUUCAAAACUGGAGAACCCACCUACUCUUGCAGGGAUUGUGCCAAUGACCCAACAUGUGUUCUGUGCAUAGACUGUUUUCAAAAUGGUGCACACAAGAACCAUAGAUACAAGAUGAAUACCUCUGGGGGUGGUGGGUACUGUGACUGUGGGGACCAAGAGGCCUGGACCUCACACCCCUUCUGUAACCUACAUUCUCCAAACGAGGUCAAUCAGGAUGAAAAGAACCCCAUAGAGACACUGCCAGUAGACUUGACUGAUCGGGCCAGUGCCCUCUUCAUGGCUGCUCUGCAGUACAUUGUAGAGGUUCUGACCUGGAACCAGUGUGAUAAUCUUCCGUCCGACCUCCAGGUGGAGGGCGAGCUGAACGAUACAUACAUCACCAUGCUGUUCAAUGAUGAAGUCCAUACCUUUGAUCAGGUGAUCAAGACCCUACAGCGGGCUGUCAAACACUGCACGGCCCAGCAGGCCAGGGAGUUUGCCACACUCGUGGACAGAGAGGGCCGUGCCACUGUGUACAGGGGUUGCUUCACUUCCUGUGAACAAUGUAGAACUAUCAUAGAUCAGAGUACCUCCAGACACGGUAGCAAACCUCUGAAGGUUCAGGUCAUGCAUACAGUAGUGGUGGCUCACCAAACAUUCUGCCUUAGGUUGAUGGUGUGGCUCCAGAAAAUGAUUGAGAAAUCAGGUACAAGACCAUAAGAAUCUGAUCAACAUGUGUUACACAUACACUGUAUUCUGCUGUGUGAAGUGUAUUAUGUGAACAUAUUAUAUUCAUAAACAUAUAAUUGCAGGAUUAUUAUACAUGUACAAGUAUGUGCAUUUUAAAUGUGGGGUGUAUUUUAUGAAUAUAUAGAUGGAGUGUAUGUUAUGAACAUAAAACUGUAUAGUGUAUUUUAUGAACAUAAGACUGUAUUUGUGUAUUACAUGGUGCAACAAUACAUAGUGUAUUUUAUUAACUGUAUAGUAUAACAUACUGUAAGACUAUGGGAAGUGCUUAAUGACCAUAUAACUACUGAUACACUCCUGUGUACUACCACUAUCUGACUGGUGACUCGUUGCCCUGUAGAUGGAUUACGUAGGCUGUUCUGCCUCCUGAGUAUGAAGCCACAAGAAGAUGGGAAAUCCUUGAUGGAGAAACUGCUACUCCAUGACACUCAACUGUGGAAAGUGGCAAGGAUUCUGAGUCAUCAACUGUUAAUGGCUGGAGUUCUGAUGGAUCAGGAGUGCAAGAAGCAGUUUGCUGUCAUAUUUACUAAGGUAUGAGGUUAACUUUUUAAAAAUUUUUUGUGAAAUUAAUUAUGAGGAACUUUUCUGAACUUUUAAUUAAAUUGAAUUCAUUAAGUUAAAAAAAUAGAAUUUAUACUAAUAAAUAUAAAAUAAUGCAGUGUUAAUUGUAGAUACAUAUGUGAUAUAAUAUCUUUUAUUUUACACAGGAAAUAAAACAUCUAUUAGGUAGACUUGGUUAAAAAAGU
rnacentral:misc_RNA from 1 species